rnacentral:rRNA from 1 species
GAUGAACGCUGGCGGCGUGCCUAAUACAUGCAAGUCGAGCGAACAGACGAGGAGCUUGCUCCUCUAACGUUAGCGGCGGACGGGUGAGUAACACGUGGAUAACCUACCUAUAAGACUGGGAUAACUUCGGGAAACCGGAGCUAAUACCGGAUAAUAUAUUGAACCGCAUGGUUCAAUAGUGAAAGACGGUUUUGCUGUCACUUAUAGAUGGAUCCGCGCCGCAUUAGCUAGUUGGUAAGGUAACGGCUUACCAAGGCAACGAUGCGUAGCCGACCUGAGAGGGUGAUCGGCCACACUGGAACUGAGACACGGUCCAGACUCCUACGGGAGGCAGCAGUAGGGAAUCUUCCGCAAUGGGCGAAAGCCUGACGGAGCAACGCUGCGUGAGUGAUGAAGGUCUUCGGAUCGUAAAACUCUGUUAUUAGGGAAGAACAAAUGUGUAAGUAACUAUGCACGUCUUGACGGUACCUAAUCAGAAAGCCACGGCUAACUACGUG